CCUACGGGGGGCUGCAGUGGGGAAUAUUGGACAAUGGGGGCAAACCUGAUCCAGCCAUGCCGCGUGUGUGAAGAAGGCCCUCGGGUUGUAAAGCACUUUCAGUGAGGAAGAACGCCUGGUGGUUAAUACCCAUCAGGAAAGACAUCACUCACAGAAGAAGCACCGGCUAACUCCGUGCCAGCAGCCGCGGUAAUACGGAGGGUGCGAGCGUUAAUCGGAAUUACUGGGCGUAAAGCGCGCGUAGGUGGCUUGAUAAGCCGGUUGUGAAAGCCCCGGGCUCAACCUGGGAACGGCAUCCGGAACUGUCAAGCUAGAGUGCAGGAGAGGUAGGUAGAAUUCCCGGUGUAGCGGUGAAAUGCGUAGAGAUCGGGAGGAAUACCAGUGGCGAAGGCGGCCUUCUGGACUGACACUGACACUGAGGUGCGAAAGCGUGGGUAGCAAACAGGAUUAGAUACCCCAGUAGUC
rnacentral:rRNA from 1 species